rnacentral:misc_RNA from 1 species
AUGAGAGAGUAAGCAAUAGAACUAAAAUAAUAAGGUUGAGAUAAGAGACAAUGUCACGCAGGAGUAUUGUCUAACGGUGGUGACACACACACUUCUACAGUCACUCUAAGUUAUAAACAGAAUAUUUCAAAGAAAGUACAGUCUGUGCCAAAAUUGAAACCAGUUUACUUCCAAGAUAUUCUGACAUAGGCGUCAAAAGCAGAUAGCGACAACCAGAGACUGUUUUCCAGGUAGAGAAAUUAGUCACGGACUCGCCCCGCCAAAACAAGACACUUCUUUUUCAGCACAAGAACGACAAAACUAGCCACCGCCAAAACAAGACUGAUUUUUAGUGCUAGGAUGGAUGUGUCUGACUUUGACGGUGGUGUAUCUUGACAUCGCCCCGCUCCUACCCUCCACUCAAUCCAAAUGUCACUCAGGCACCUUCUACCCCAACACACAAGUCACUCACCCACCACCCCACCCACAAGUCAGCCUUCAUUCUUAGUGCUCAGGCUGGUCACAACUUUUCUUAGUUCUUCAGCUUGUUCACUUGUCAUAUUGACAGUGAUCGUGGCUAGUCCUAGGACAUAGUAUUUCCAGACGCACUUCACAUAUAAUUUAGAUUUCCAUAUUAUAUAUGUUUCUCUGGCAUUUUCGGCCGGUAAAAUGGAUUCAAGACAUACGGUGAAGGGAAAGAAGAAGUUGGUUCUUUCAGCCAGGAGAAUGAAAAGGCGGCUACCACCAGAAUUUCAUGCUAACAGACGUAGAAGGAUUGAAGAACAAACCUUAUCGCUCGAAGCGCCUUCAUCUUCCCAGGCUGACAGUGUUUCAGCAGAUGCCAUUUCUGUAUCCACUGAGAACUUUCAACCCAGUGCAACGUCAACUCCUAAAGGAAAGAAGAGAAGACCACACAACAGAAAAGUACCAGUGCAUUUGAUGAAAUGGAGAUUACAGCAAAAGAUAUCUAAAGGAGAAGAAAAAUCAGGGCCAUCAACAUCUUCUUCCACCUUAUAGUCAAAUCUAAAAAAAAGCGUCCUUGAUGGCACCUCUGAUUUUGCUACAAUUGUGCCACCAUUCCCCUCAAUUGGUCUACAACCAGCUUUGAACCAUGAGAUUGAUACCACCUCAAUGCGAAAUAGUGGAGUUUCUUACGUGGAGAGUAACGUCUGUGAUACUUUACUAACAAGAUAUGAUGAGUAUCCAGAUCUAAUAGUUGAGCCGGAUGGAAGACCACCCAAAGACGAUUUUAAUAUUAUUUCUGGCCGAUUUAUUGUGGACGGCAAACAUCUUGUGCAAGAAUUGAGAUCUUUGGACUACCAUAGAUACGAGUGUGAAAAAAGUGAUAAUGGUUAUAUGACACUGGUGUCUUCAACUUCAAAAUCAUCAGAAUGGACAAUGAAGUUCGUUGUAUGGACAGCUCCACGAACCAGCUGCCAUAAAUGCGUUU